rnacentral:rRNA from 1 species
UACGGAGGGUGCAAACGUUGCUCGGAAUCAUUGGGCGUAAAGCGCCCGUAGGCGGCGAAGCAAGUCGGGUGUGAAAGCCCUGGGCUCAACCCAGGAAGUGCAUUCGAAACUAUUUCGCUUGAAUCUCGGAGGGGGUCAGAGAAUUCCCGGUGUAGAGGUGAAAUUCGUAGAUAUCGGGAGGAAUACCAGUGGCGAAGGCGCUGACCUGGACGAAGAUUGACGCUGAGAUGCGAAAGCGCGGGGAGCAAACAGG